rnacentral:rRNA from 1 species
UACGUAGGCAGCGAGCGUUGUUCGGAGUUACUGGGCGUAAAGAGUGCGUAGGCGGUUUUCUAAGUUUGGUGUGAAAUCUCCCGGCUUAACUGGGAGGGUGCGCCGAAGACUGGAAGGCUUGAGUAUGGGAGAGGUAAGCGGAAUUCCUGGUGUAGCGGUGAAAUGCGUAGAUAUCAGGAGGAACACCAAUAGCGAAGGCGGGUUGCUGGGCUGACACUGACGCUGAUGCGCGAAAGCUAGGGGAGCGAACGGG